CAUCUAUUAUUAAGUGGGGGAUGCGCAAUGAGUGUUGAUGCUGCAAUUGCUGGGGUCUGAUCAGUAAUGAGAUAGACAUGGGCUCAUGGGACUCACAUGGUGUUGUCUUCCGAAGCAUUACCAAGAAUUCCGUGUCAAAUACUUGAAAGAAUGGUUUUCCUACCUUGCCGACAAAAUGAACCGACUAAGGACCUACUCAGAUUUGGAAGAUUUGGAUCCAUUAAAAGCUUCUUCCUAGUAAAGAUUUUUAUUACUUCACUAGUGACAAUAGAGGAAACCUUUAGAGACAUACAAUCUGCCAUGCAAUGAUAGGGAACAAAUAACAUGGGUGACUUUGACCUCCUAUUUCAUACAGACUUCACAUAAAACUUGUAAGACAAACCCUUGUGAAGAGCGCCUGAAGUGUGUCCUACAGGCUACAACAACUCCUCAUCUGAACCCAACUUGUUGCAUUUUAUCCAGGUUUGUUGUCUAUGCCGUGCUGCAAUCAAAUAGUUCCAUAGGGUUGAAGACAAUAUUCAGCUUGACAGCUCACAAAGUCUCUGGUCAAUGUCAGAAAGCUAUUCAAACUACAAGAAAGUUCAAUGAAGGCUUCUUCUGCACAUGGGACUGCGAGACUACCUCUUGGAUGAUCAAAGCCAAACUCCUCUUCCAGCCUGAUUUAUCAAUUCCUAAAUCUGCUUAGUCUGAACAAGUGCAGGUACUCACAAACACAUAACUCUUAUGAACUGGGAAAAGUUGCAAGGGUAGAAUAUGUUCAUCUCUAAGGCUUCUUAAUAGCUGAUGCAAAAAAUAUAUAAAUGAAAUAGGAGUUUGUAGUCCUCUUACUCUUAUCUCAAAAUGGUCAAAAAGCUAUUUGAUUUUACAUUCAGUCAUUUGUAUAUUUGUUUCCAUAUACAUGACUGGAGUUUAGAGUAUUUGAAAAUUUAUUGAAUUUUACCAAUGUUGAUUAACCAUUAAAAUAUAAAACCAAACAAGUAACAAGAA